GAAAUGCGAAAAGCAAUGCGAAUUGCAGAAUUCCGCGAGUCAUCAGAUCUUCGAACGCAUCUGGCGCCGAUCGGCUAUCCGUUCGGCAUGUUUGUUUCAGUGUCUUGUUGAGACUCAUACAUCUCAAUGUGAUUGAUGCCACCAAGUUCCUAACAGUUCUUGUGUGGUAUCUCUCAUUAAGUUAGGACUGCGGCAACUAACCGAUGCAGUAGUCAGUCUUGUGCUGAUACUCAUUGGGAAGAAGCCAAAACAGCGGUCUUUCAAAUGUUGACAUCCACAACGCAUCUGAGAUAAGCAAGAUCACCCGCUGAACUUAA
rnacentral:misc_RNA from 1 species